CCUGGCCUGCCAAAUACUAGGACGCUCUCAGCCGCAGGGGGAAAAAAAAUGGGAAUGCCAUAUUCACCUCCAUUGAUACUGAAUCUAGCAGCGAUCUUCAGAGAUUCAUUCAGUGAAGGACACAAUAGUGGAAAUUAUUUUUUUACUAUGAAAGCUCUUUAACCUCUGUUCCAUCAUGUACAAUACUCUUCCCAUUUUAAAAAAAUUAUGGAGAAACCUGAAACAGCUUUUCUUUGGGUUAUACAGGUAAUCCUCAAUUUACAACCACAAUUGGGACUGGAAUUUCUGUUGCUAAGCAAGAUGGUUGUUAAACUGGCAAAUCAUUUUGAUUUCAUGGACCCCUGAAAGAGUGUUGACGUACCCCCAGGAUUUUUCAGAUCACACUUUGAGAUCACACUGUUCCAGGAGAAACAGCUGCUGAAAAAAAAGCUGGUCAUGAUUUUGAAUUAUUUGCUGGGGAAUUGAGAACCAUUUAAUAUGUCUAAUAUCCAGUAACCACAAUGUCAGUCAAGCCACCCACCCCCACCUUAGACAUUCUUUCAACGAACACAAAUCAGCAAUAUUUCCAAAUGAGAAAAAAAAACCCCCAUCAAAAUCCAUAUUAGGCAUCUAGGACUUUAUAUUCUUAAACAAUUAAGUAUGUUACAAGUAUGUUACAAUUAAACAUGUUACAAGCCUUAGAUGCUUAAUUACUUACAUAUUAAUGAAUGGAUUAACAUUCUGCUAAAUUGGGGUAAAAUUAAUGAUAUUAAAAUGAAUGUUGCUUCAAGAUUAAUCUACUGUAUGUAUUAAGAGGUAUUCCAGUGUUUGUGCCACAUAAAUAUUUAUUGAGAUAGAUAUGAUAUUGAGGGGAAAAAAGGAAUUUAUAUGGGAAAGAAGAUCAUCUAGGAUUUCAGUAGCUAAACAGAGAUAAUCUAUUAAGGAUGGUGGUUUUAAUUUACCAGAGUUCCAAAAAUAUCAUUAGGCUUAUAUUUCAACAACUACAUGUGCGCUGAAUGAAUGUUUGUGGACUCUGUUGGAAAGCUUGUUAGUACUUCCAUUAAGGGGCUGCUGAUUGCUAGGAUCAAUAACAUAAUAGACAAAGUAUUCCCUUCUCAGAUUAAAAGCAGCCAGACAUGUUUGUGGGUCAUAGAUUGGGUUUUGAUGUUGAGACUCAUGAAUAUUUAAUUUUAUGGAAAAAGAACUGUAAAAGUAAGAGGCAAAAAAUUGUAUUGGAAAUUGCAGGCACAACCUGAAAUAAAUAUUUAAAACCAAGUACUUUGUAACAAAUAUUUUAAGAAUUUUUCUAGACUUCAAGCAGAAUUUUGUCUCCAUAAUUCACAACAGACGAAUCAACAUAUUUUAAAUUUCAGUAUAGACUAGAUAUUUCUACUGUGUUUGAGAAAUCUGAACUGUAAAUGUACAUGAGGGAAUAAAUGUUUGGAUGUUUGAAAUAAAA